rnacentral:rRNA from 1 species
GACGUAGGGUGCGAGCGUUGUCCGGAUUUAUUGGGCGUAAAGAGCUCGUAGGCGGCUCGUCGCGUCGGCUGUGAAAACCCGCGGCUUAACUGUGGGCUUGCAGCUGAUACGGGCGGGCUAGAGUUCGGUAGGGGAGACUGGAAUUCCUGGUGUAGCGGUGAAAUGCGCAGAUAUCAGGAGGAACACCGGUGGCGAAGGCGGGUCUCUGGGCCGAUACUGACGCUGAGGAGCGAAAGCGUGGGGAGCGAACAGG